GUUCACCUGUGGCUGAUCACUGAGGGCAGUGUCAGUUCAUUGACUGUGGUUCCUUUUUUGGUGUUUGUGUUCUCCAGUUGGCUCCUGACCUUGGCUUUCUAUUCGUGUAUCCUGACUUCUGGCAUCCUCUGACUUUAGCUUACCCUCGUUUAUCCUGACUUCUGGCACCCUCUGACCUUUGGCUUACCCACGACGAUUCUCCUGCUUGUGUCCAUACCUCUACCGCAACUUGGAGCACUAUCCUGCACAGCCCCCGUGCACAGACUCACAGGCCAGGUGAAUUCUUACCUGACCACCUUGGCCUGUGUGAGCACAUAUCUCUGCCUACCGGACUCCCAAACAAGGUAAGCCGUGACACAAAGUCAUACAUAUACAUAAAAUACUUUGAUAAUUGUCAUCAAAAUGUCUUAUAGGUAAUAGUUUAGUAAUGGGCGCUAGUGAUUUAGGCACAAUCCUCCUUCCCAGGAAGUGGCUUCAUCAAUUAGGAACAUCUUGUUCUGGUCAUUUAAGUCUUUUCUUUUUAAACUUAUGCAAAGUGAAAAAUGUUGGUCGUUCUAAACAAAAUUUUCUGAAUGAACCUCUGACGAUUAAAAACCUGAAAAUCUGCUGAACCGAUAUUCAAAGGUCAAUCUUGUGGCAGCUGCUCAGCACAAUAGUUUUAAAAAAUCUCUUUGGGUCAAUAUAACUUCCACAUUAUUAUGUUGCUGUCCAGUUGCUAGUAACGUACAACCCAGCAGCACAUGUUGGGCAUCGGCUAAAGGGUUCCACUUAGAAUGGGAACCACAGUGGGCUAAUAAUUAAAUACAGUGGGGGGGGGGAGGGACUUACUGUCUCUCUCUGUGCCCUCACCCAUGGCCAGCAGAAAAGGGUUAUAAUUAAAAUGUGCCAGGGGAACUUAUUUUGCCCUAGUGUUGGCUGCCUCUAAUUAAUAAACUGGAGGACCUAAGGGUGGCAAGUGAGCUCUAAUAUUGAUAACAAUGUUGACCUAAUAUGCCCCAAACCAAGGACUUUAAAGGGACACUCCAGGCACUCAGACCACUUCUGCCUAUUGGAGUGGUCUGGAUGCCAACUCUCACUACCCUCAACCCUGCAAGUGUAAUUAUUGCAGUUUUUAUAAACUGCAAUAAUUACCUUGCAGGGUUAAGUCCACCUCUAGUGGCUGUCUGACAGACAGCCACUAGAGGGACUUCGGUGCUCUUAGAACACGAAAAGUGUUUUAAGCGACACUGUACGUCCUCACGCUAUGUGAGGACCUCCAGCAUCGCCGCAAUCCCAAUAGGAAAGCAUUGAAAGCAUUGUCAGCCGGUGGGGGAGGAGAGUAGACAGAGACUGACCCCUUCAGCAACUUGGGAUGCGGGGUGAAAGGGAGAGGGGCACUGUAGGGUCCUGCAGUGCCAGGAAAACUAAUAUGUUUUCCUGGCACUGGAGAUUCCCUUUAAUUUUGCUAACAGGGACAACCUAGUGUCCAUCCACACUACCACUCAUGGGCAGCAGAUGGGGGCUCUGAAUAAAUAGAGAAGGAGAGGGGUGGUCAUGCCAUUGUCCACCCCAGGUGACAAGGGUUCCUCAAGCCCUUAUCCACCCACCCCAAUAAAAAAAUAAAAAAAAUGAAUUAGCCCCUCACCAUAAUAAUAUUGUGUAAUGCCCAAUAAGUCGAAAUAGCUUCCCCCUUGAGGGAGGCCAAUUGCCAAAACGUUAGGGCUUUAUGGUCUCCUGCUCUAGGUCAGUAUACCUUACAGACAGUAAAUGGGUUUAUGGUGUUAGCACUUCAUUGUUAUGCACGCAGUAAUUUAUAUGUGAUUGUACUUUCUUGUAUCUUUGUUUUGUACAUUUGCACUUUAUCAAGCGUAUAAUAAAAAAUAUAAUAAAAAAAAAUGUAAACUAUUUCUAUGCAAUAACUAUUGGUGUGCUUGGGUAUUAUUUAAUUUUAUUACUUCUAUGUACCUGGUGGGGGAACAGGUUUUAUUUCCCUUUUAGCAACCUAUAAAAACAUACAGCUAGAAAAAUAAAUCAGCUAAAUAAAUUAUCUCUAUCCAUUUAUCCAUACAUGGUCAAUAUUUAAGCCCCUCCCUCUAACACCUUAUCUAUGACUUGUCUAUGAUGUCAUAAGGAGAGGUAUUACAUCACCAAAGUCUUGAGGGCAAUUAACAUAGACUUAAGCUGCAUUUGAAAGAGGAGCCUGGCCAAGGAGUAAGUACUGUCAGCCAUACAUUGUUUUUUUUAAAUAAUAAAUGCUUACUAAGAAUCUGUGCUUUACUGCUUCAUGUGGCAAGCUUACUGAGGUAUACUGAACUAUAUACAGGAGGUGAUAUAUACUGUAUAUGGAACAAUAAAAAUUUUGUAAAUAUUAAGAAUUGCACUAGUUGAAUUAGGUAACAGUUAUUGGCUAUUAUGUUAAAUUAUAUAUAUCUUUCUUUUUUGCUCUUCUCUAUUGUAUAUUUUUUCAUAUAUAGUCAGUAAUAACUUGUGUUUUGUCUUUUAUAGCUUCUCCUCAGCCUAUACACCUGUGUGUCCUGUGAGCCGGCACUGGCUGCAACUGAUGAGG
rnacentral:lncRNA from 1 species